AGUCUUAUAGUCAAAUAUGAUUUUAAAUUGCAAAUUUAAAGGUGAGGACUAACUCUAAGGCUU
rnacentral:tRNA from 1 species